rnacentral:rRNA from 1 species
AGCGAACGCUGGCGGCGUGCUUAACACAUGCAAGUCGAACGAUGAACUUGGAGCUUGCUCUGGGGGAUUAGUGGCGAACGGGUGAGUAACACGUGAGUAACCUGCUCUGGACUCUGGGAUAACUUCGAGAAAUCGGAGCUAAUACCGGAUAGGACCUUGUACCGCAUGGUGUGGGGUGGAAAGUUUUUCGGUUUGGGAUGGACUCGCGGCCUAUCAGCUUGUUGGUGAGGUAAUGGCUCACCAAGGCGUCGACGGGUAGCCGGCCUGAGAGGGUGACCGGCCACACUGGGACUGAGACACGGCCCAGACUCCUACGGGAGGCAGCAGUGGGGAAUAUUGCACAAUGGGCGCAAGCCUGAUGCAGCAACGCCGCGUGCGGGAUGACGGCCUUCGGGUUGUAAACCGCUUUUAGUAGGGAAGAAGCCUUCGGGUGACGGUACCUGCAGAAAAAGGACCGGCUAACUACGUGCCAGCCGCCGCGGUAACAC